AUUGAACGCUGGCGGCAGGCCUAACACAUGCAAGUCUAGCGAGCGGCGGACGGGUGAGUAAUGUAUGGGGACUGCCCGAUAGAGGGGGAUAACUACUGGAAACGGUGGCUCAUACCGCAUACUCUCGUAUAACCCCUAUGGGAUUAGCUAGUAGGUAAGGUAAUGGCUUACCUAGGCGACGCUCCCUAGCUGGUCUGAGAGGAUGAUCCGCCACACUGUGACUGAGACACGGGCCAGACUCCUACGGAGGCAGCAGUGGUGAAUAUGGAACAAUGGGCGCAAGCCUGAUGCAGCCAUGACGCGUGUAUGAAGAAGGCCCUAGGGUUGUAAAGUACUUUCAGUGGGGAGGCGUUACCGACAGAAGAAGCACCGGCUAACUCCGUGCCAGCAGCCGCGGUAAUAC
rnacentral:rRNA from 1 species